rnacentral:rRNA from 1 species
UACGUAGGGGGCGAGCGUUGUCCGGAAUCAUUGGGCGUAAAGAGCGUGUAGGUGGCUUGGAAAGUCUUACGUGAAAACUCUGGGCUCAACUCAGAGCCUGCAGGCGAAACUGCCGUGCUUGAGUGUGGGAGAGGUGCGUGGAACUCCGGGAGUAGCGGUGAAAUGCGUAGAGACCCGGAGGAACACCAGUGGCGAAGGCGGCUUCCUGGUCUGCAACUGACGCUGUGGCGCGAAAGCUAGGGGGAGCAAACGGG